rnacentral:rRNA from 1 species
CACUAUCGUUAACUGAAUACAUAGGUUAACGAGGCGAACCGGGGGAACUGAAACAUCUAAGUACCCCGAGGAAAAGAAAUCAACCGAGAUUCCCCCAGUAGCGGCGAGCGAACGGGGAGCAGCCCAGAGUCUGAAUCAGCUUGUGUGUUAGUGGAACGGUCUGGAAAGUCCGACGGUACAGGGUGAUAGUCCCGUACACCAAAAUGCACAGGUUGUGAACUCGAAGAGUAGGGCGGGACACGUGGUAUCCUGUCUGAAUAUGGGGGGACCAUCCUCCAAGGCUAAAUACUCCUGACUGACCGAUAGUGAACCAGUACCGUGAGGGAAAGGCGAAAAGAACCCCGGCGAGGGGAGUGAAAAAGAACCUGAAACCGUGUACGUACAAGCAGUGGGAGCACCUUCGGGUGUGACUGCGUACCUUUUGUAUAAUGGGUCAGCGACUUAUAUUCUGUAGCAAGGUUAACCGUAUAGGGGAGCCGCAGGGAAACCGAGUCUUAACUGGGCGUUAAGUUGCAGGGUAUAGACCCGAAACCCGGUGAUCUAGCCAUGGGCAGGUUGAAGGUUGGGUAACACUAACUGGAGGACCGAACCGACUAAUGUUGAAAAAUUAGCGGAUGACUUGUGGCUGGGGGUGAAAGGCCAAUCAAACCGGGAGAUAGCUGGUUCUCCCCGAAAGCUAUUUAGGUAGCGCCUCGUGAACUCAUCUUCGGGGGUAGAGCACUGUUUCGGCUAGGGGGUCAUCCCGACUUACCAACCCGAUGCAAACUACGAAUACCGAAGAAUGUUAUCACGGGAGACACACGGCGGGUGCUAACGUCCGUCGUGAAGAGGGAAACAACCCAGACCGCCAGCUAAGGUCCCAAAGUCAUGGUUAAGUGGGAAACGAUGUGGGAAGGCACAGACAGCCAGGAUGUUGGCUUAGAAGCAGCCAUCAUUUAAAGAAAGCGUAAUAGCUCACUGGUCGAGUCGGCCUGCGCGGAAGAUGUAACGGGGCUAAACCAUGCACCGAAGCUGCGGCAGCGACACUAUGUGUUGUUGGGUAGGGGAGCGUUCUGUAAGCCUGCGAAGGUGACCUGUGAGGGUUGCUGGAGGUAUCAGAAGUGCGAAUGCUGACAUAAGUAACGAUAAAGCGGGUGAAAAGCCCGCUCGCCGGAAGACCAAGGGUUCCUGUCCAACGUUAAUCGGGGCAGGGUGAGUCGACCCCUAAGGCGAGGCCGAAAGGCGUAGUCGAUGGGAAACAGGUUAAUAUUCCUGUACUUGGUGUUACUGCGAAGGGGGGACGGAGAAGGCUAUGUUAGCCGGGCGACGGUUGUCCCGGUUUAAGCAUGUAGGCUGGUUAUCCAGGCAAAUCCGGAUAAUCAAGGCUGAGGUGUGAUGACGAGGCACUACGGUGCUGAAGUAACAAAUGCCCUGCUUCCAGGAAAAGCCUCUAAGCAUCAGGUAACAUCAAAUCGUACCCCAAACCGACACAGGUGGUCAGGUAGAGAAUACCAAGGCGCUUGAGAGAACUCGGGUGAAGGAACUAGGCAAAAUGGUGCCGUAACUUCGGGAGAAGGCACGCUGGUGUGUAGGUGAAGUCCCUGCGGAUGGAGCUGAGACCAGUCGAAGAUACCAGCUGGCUGCAACUGUUUAUUAAAAACACAGCACUGUGCAAACACGAAAGUGGACGUAUACGGUGUGACGCCUGCCCGGUGCCGGAAGGUUAAUUGAUGGGGUUAUCCGUAAGGAGAAGCUCUUGAUCGAAGCCCCGGUAAACGGCGGCCGUAACUAUAACGGUCCUAAGGUAGCGAAAUUCCUUGUCGGGUAAGUUCCGACCUGCACGAAUGGCGUAAUGAUGGCCAGGCUGUCUCCACCCGAGACUCAGUGAAAUUGAACUCGCUGUGAAGAUGCAGUGUACCCGCGGCAAGACGGAAAGACCCCGUGAACCUUUACUAUAGCUUGACACUGAACAUUGAGCCUUGAUGUGUAGGAUAGGUGGGAGGCUUUGAAGCGUGGACGCCAGUCUGCGUGGAGCCAACCUUGAAAUACCACCCUUUAAUGUUUGAUGUUCUAACGUUGGCCCCUGACCGGGGUUGCGGACAGUGUCUGGUGGGUAGUUUGACUGGGGCGGUCUCCUCCCAAAGCGUAACGGAGGAGCACGAAGGUUAGCUAAUCCUGGUCGGACAUCAGGAGGUUAGUGCAAUGGCAUAAGCUAGCUUGACUGCGAGCGUGACGGCGCGAGCAGGUGCGAAAGCAGGUCAUAGUGAUCCGGUGGUUCUGAAUGGAAGGGCCAUCGCUCAACGGAUAAAAGGUACUCCGGGGAUAACAGGCUGAUACCGCCCAAGAGUUCAUAUCGACGGCGGUGUUUGGCACCUCGAUGUCGGCUCAUCACAUCCUGGGGCUGAAGUAGGUCCCAAGGGUAUGGCUGUUCGCCAUUUAAAGUGGUACGCGAGCUGGGUUUAGAACGUCGUGAGACAGUUCGGUCCCUAUCUGCCGUGGGCGCUGGAGAAUUGAGGGGGGCUGCUCCUAGUACGAGAGGACCGGAGUGGACGCAUCACUGGUGUUCGGGUUGUCAUGCCAAUGGCACUGCCCGGUAGCUAAAUGCGGAAGAGAUAAGUGCUGAAAGCAUCUAAGCACGAAACUUGCCCCGAGAUGAGUUCUCCCUGAGACUUUAAGUCUCCUGAAGGAACGUUAAAGACGAUGACGUUGAUAGGCCGGGUGUGUAAGCGCAGCGAUGCGUUGAGCUAACCGGUACUAAUGAACCGUGAGGCUUAACCUU